rnacentral:hammerhead_ribozyme from 1 species
GUACUGCUGAGGAGUCCCACAAUAGGACGAAACGGCUGUUAAGUGU